rnacentral:rRNA from 1 species
UGGGGGAUAUUGCACAAUGGGCGAAAGCCUGAUGCAGCGACGCCGCGUGGGGGAUGAAGGCUUUCGGGUUGUAAACCUCUUUCGCUAUCGAACAAGGCCCGCUUAGGGUGGGUUGAGGGUAGGUGGAGAAGAAGCGCCGGCUAACUACGUGCCAGCAGCCGCGGUAAUACGUAGGGCGCGAGCGUUGUCCGGAAUUAUUGGGCGUAAAGGGCUUGUAGGCGGCUUGUUGCGCCUGCUGUGAAAACGCGGGGCUUAACUUCGCGCGUGCAGUGGGUACGGGCAGGCUUGAGUGUGGUAGGGGUGACUGGAAUUCCAGGUGUAGCGGUGGAAUGCGCAGAUAUCUGGAGGAACACCGAUGGCGAAGGCAGGUCACUGGGCCAUUACUGACGCUGAGGAGCGGAAGCAUGGGUAGCGAACAGG